AAAAAGGCAAAAAUGCACCAUAAGCUCUUUUCACUAAUCACCAUUUCUUUUGCUUAAUCAUAAUUAAGGAGUAGUUUAAGAGCUUGGUAUAUAUGCUUAAUCCAUAACAGAAAUUGGACGGGAAUCACAAUUUGCAUCUAACAGAAAAAUCCAAAAGAAAAACUCCAAGAAUUCUCUCAUUUCCUCUUCAAUUCUUCACCAAGAAUUUGGCACCAAUUCAUCAACCUUCACCGUUUUUGUGUGAAUUCUUUGCGAAUAUCCCAUCUACAGGUCCUGUGUAGUUGCUG
rnacentral:lncRNA from 1 species